GCCGCCAGCGGCGGCGCCGUCGCCGGAGCACGGCGGAGCCGCCGUGCCGGAGUUGCGAUUUGGGCCGAAAGAGGCCCUGGGCCUAAUUUGGAUUUUUUUUGGAACACGUGCAGGUACUGUUAGCGUGUUUCAGUUCCCCGGAAAAAAAUUCAGGGAAAAUUAGGGACAGCCUGCAGGCGCACUGUGAAUCGUAUUCGGAUCCCGAAAAC
rnacentral:lncRNA from 1 species